AACAAUUAAAGUGGUUCUUUUAUGCGAUCUUUUAUUGUCUAGCACUAUUAAAGUGGACGCAGUAAAGACGACAAAAUAUAUUUGAAGUUUUUACUUUUUACAAACAAUUAUGAUUUAAUUUAUUGUACUUCGAUAAAAAGCACUUAACAAGUUAAUGUAUUGUAUAUACGAUUAAAACUACAUCAAAAAGUUCAAACUGUCAUUUCAAAAUAACUAUCUCUAUUAUAUAUUUUUGCUUCUAUUUUCUACAAAGCAAAUACUAUUGAUAAGAUUACAUGCAUUCAAACAUUUCUCGUGUAAAUUACUUUAAAGAUAUCAAUAUAUACCUAUAGUUGUAUUUAAAUUCGCGUCAUAGCAUCAGAAUACACCCUUCCGCGAGAAGUACGUCACUAUGGCCACAGAAUAAAGCUCAGAGAUCUAUGCUAUGGCUAUAGAGCCCAGUGAGCUCUAUAUAUAUCUGGAGUAAGAACUUCAGUCAUUCGGUCAAUGAGAAAAGUGAAGCCAAGAUGGCGGCCAUUGACGUCCAAUAGCUCUGAAGGUCGUAAACAGUUUUUAUACCAUUUUCCCAAGCUAAUUCCAGUUUUUUCUAAUGGACCGUAUCACUAAUCAAGUUUUCAGUUCAUAAAAUCACAAUAUUAUUCUUUAAAUCGAAGUCAAAAUACGAAAUUUCAACACACUCAUUGCCAAGAUGGCGCAAAUUGAAGGAGCUAUUGGACAUCAGUUCCAGUCCCUUUCUAUUGUUUUUGUAUGCGCGGUUAACACGAAACUGGCUUCACUUUGAGCAACCAAGUUGCCACUCCAAAUAUAUAUGGAGCUCACUGAUAGAGCCUCGUUUUCGUGAUUGAGACGCUUGGAUUGAACUAAAGUCACGUGCAUAAAAAGCCAAAAUGUCGUACUUUCCAGAAGAAUCGAAGUUGAAAAAUAGGUUUGCCAUCUAACACGCACAAAUAAUAAUCUGUGUCAGUAAAUGAUUGCCGCAGAAACACAAAAUGCAAACCGUUAGAAAUUAUUCUGUACGAUCGACGUUAUGUAAAACAGAUAUUUGCAUGAUAUAGUUUUUUGUUAAAGUGUCUUGGUUAGUUUUCUCUUGCUGCUCUCUCGAUAUGUCUGGUGACGGUUGUAUAAAACUCUUAACUUGUUUUCAACUACUGUUUUGAUUGAUAAACUUUCGCACUAAAUGCAACUAAAUGCAGUAAACUUUAACUACCUUUUUAUACAACCGACUCCAGGUUUCUCGAAAAUCAGUAACAAUUGUACUUUCGUAAAAAAUUGACGUUCCCAGUCAUUUUAUAGCACGGAAAAACUAUCAUUCACGUGUUCUUUUUCUCGGUUAGUAGCGUUUUAAUCAAGCGCGCAGAUCAAGUUAAAUCUGCACUAAAAUAUCACAUUUCACCUUUUUCGGGUGUGCGAAAUUAAAUCGCACGAGUUUAAGACUGAGCGAAAAUUAGAACCACGCAAAUUUAAAUACAAGCAAAGUAUAUACUGUCAAUUUAAAAUAUCUAUCCUAAGACUAUAUUCUAAUGCAAAGUAUACUAUAUAUACAUACAUUCAGCGAGGGACGUCGUGAAGCUCGGAUUGUGUGUUACCGCAAAUCCUCUAUUAAGACCCCCCCCCCCUAAAAAAGCUUCCCUCUAAUGAUCAAUCUCUAACAAGUCAUGUAUAAAUACAUCAAUUAGUAGUUCCUUCUCCAAUACAAGCACCUUCUCCAAUACAAGCACCCUCCCCCAUCCCCUUCAUAUAUAAACACAUGUUCACCGAGUAGAUUUAGACAAAUUAUCCUGGACGUUUAUGUUAGAUUUUAGGUUACCACGUUUAGAUAUCUUAAUCAUGAUCAUAAGUCCCCCCUUUCUAUUAUACCUCCCUCUCCAAUAAACAUCCCCUCAAACGUGCCAUAAAUAAAUUGGGGCUUAAUAGAGGAUUUACUUCACGAACGCAGUCAUGUAGUGUAACACACAAAUUUUCAUUGACAAUCAUAUCAUUCACAUUGCAAUUACGUUUCAGAGGCUUGGUUCAUACUUUGGAUUCAAAAUUCAGACAAAUUUGCUGUUAAAUUCAUUGAGCAAAGCACCAUUUCAUUCCAAACGUGAAAGUAAUAUUGUAUAACAUGCCUUGUUAGACAUAAGUUUCAUAAUACUCUUAAACAGAAUCAAACAUUAAGACAUAACACAUUUGUUUCGACUGGGCGACCAGUAUGUCGUAUGAAACGAAAAUUCACAAUAGACAUUUUUUUCCAUCUGACUGACAGAUGAAUGAAACGUCUUGUACGAAUUUAAAUACAGACACUAGUAUGAAACAGACCUCAGACGUGGAAAUGGUCUAGCGGUGGCUGAUUGUGAGACCCAAAGGAUUUUUUUGUAAUUUUCGAUACUCUAACACUCUAUUUUUAGUAUUUUUCGAAACGAAAUUGUAAAUGAUUGAAUUGCGUUUCUUUCAAAUAUUUUUUGAACAAGUUAUCAUUCCAAACACCACAUGCAUUUUUAUUCAAAUUUCAUGUAAAAUUUUAGAAUAAACAUCCACCUAAGUGUUACAUCCCCUAAUUCGCGACGUCCCUGCUUCUGGCAUAUAUUAUGCUAUUAAAUUUACUAAUGCAUACACUAUUUUAUAACUGGAGUGAAUGCCGCUGAUCUCGAAAUUAGACCUGGAUAGAGCACCACAUGCAUAAAUGAAGCCAACGACGGCCAUAUUGGUGUAACCAUAGCAAAUCUACAGUGGUGUUGCUGACAUGCUAGAACACGUUCUUAAAGUUUCUGGUGAUUGGUAAAAAUAAAAAAUAUUGCCUAGAGAGAAAUUGGUUAUUAGUGGCCUUUGACGGUUCCUUCUGAAAUUUGUCAGUGAAUAAUUAAUGAGGUGACACGACAAUAUGGCCGCCUCAAGUCUCAUUAUCACGUGUUUAAAACAAUCUAAACAAACUCAGAAGAAGCUGUGGCUUAUCUUUCAAGUUACGUAGAAGGAGAUAUUUGCUUGGUACUAUAACUAAUUUUAACACGUAGCGAUUUGAUUCAUAAGGAAUUAGGUUUCAUAAGGUUUAAAAAUCGUUUCUCAUUAUAAAUAUUCUAGCUUCGAAAUUAAUUCUCUGAAUUCAAAAGGUUGCUGUAUCCAGUUCUAGUUUUAAGAUCAGUGGUCAAUACCUUCAUUAAUAUUCAGAAUUUAACUAAAGCAGUGGGUUUGUUAACUACGUGGGAUCACCAUGGGGUGAGAGCUCUGUAUAGGGUCAAGUUCCCAACUCCCGGCUUAUGUGAUUGAAGUUUAAAAUGGCUAUCACCCAUAAGUCAAUAAUUUCAGAAUCAGGUAAAUAGACUGAUAUUUAGAUAUUUCUGAACUAGAAUGAGAGAUUCCUGAGUUAAAGAGUUUUAUAACUUCAAUAAUGUAACAGGAGAAAUUUCUAUAUACUCUCGCUGUAACUGUAGAACACUGAAAAUUAUACACCAUAAUAGGCAAUUCCAGCUUUUAAUUUAUGCGCGCAGGGGGUGACGGGAAGUAAGCUAUCAUACAGGGUGUAUAAAAAAAACGCAACCUCGGAAUUUCCUAAGAAAUCCACUUUGCAAUUCUUAAGCAUAAAAGAUUUUAGGCCCCUGGAAAUUGAAAUCGAAUUGCUAAUAGAUCAUAUUACUGUUGUUGUACUGUACUUGUAAAAUAGCAACGUCAUUAAAUAAAUGCAUACAUUUUGCUUUAUGCACUCGCGUGUGCAGUAAUUUUGACAGUUGUGCUAUUUUAAAUUUCCAGGCACCUAAAACCUUUUGUCCUUAAAACAAUGUCGAUUUCUUGGGAAAUUCCGAGGUUGCGUUUUUUUCUAUACACCUUGUAUCGCUUAUUGGGCAGAAAAAUGUCAACAAAAACUGCCGAAACAACCGAAAUGUUUCAAUAUUUACAAGUAUAAGCUAUCACUCCGUGUUUACCCGGCAACCAUUUUUAUUUUUUCAGCAUAAUCAGCAAUAUGAUACCUUACUUCCCAUCCUCUCCCCUGCACGCAUAAACUAAAAGCUGGAAUUGACUAUUAUAUUCCUCAUGGAUAAAAUUCC
rnacentral:lncRNA from 1 species